UGCCGUUCCGCUGGACACCCAAUCUUCGUCAUCUCCCAUCCGAACCUUACUGGAUGACGCUGCGCCACUGUUAGCAGUCGAUGCUGGUUCGGCGGCAUCGGAUUGCUUUGAAAGCGAUUGUCUAAGAGAAUUUGAGAGCGUAGGAUCGGGACUGGAAUUAGAAUUAGGAUUUUGAUUUCUCGGAAUGAAUUUCUUAUGGUUUUUUGGGAAAUUUCUGGGGUUGGAGCCGCUCCACUCUUCUUGUUGUGACUUCUUGUUGUGGUGAAAGUAACGCUGCGACAUCUUUAUCUCGUGUGGUUUCUGUUUUCGAAUUCACAGAAUGAGAGUGAAAGUGAGAUAGCGGAGGGGACGAAGGUUUCGCUUCCUGAUGCUGCUAAUGGAGAGGGUUGAAUUGAAAUUUUGGAGCAAUCACAGGCCUAAUG
rnacentral:misc_RNA from 1 species